CACCAAGAAAUUGUGCUCAGAUCAAGAUACUGCUGUUUUGGAAUUGCAAGUUAAUUGCCAAAAUGAUUUGGUGCAUGGUGAGAAUAAGGACAUGACUGGGAAAGCUACACUAGAGGAAACUGCUGUGACUAAAGGCCUAGCAAGAAACAAUGAGGCAGAAGAGGAAGAGGAAGAAGAGCAUGACUACAGCUAUAUUGAUGAAAACAUAAUUGAAAAUAUAAGAAAAGUAUUUCACAGCACCAGAAAUGAGCAUACACUCUCCAAAGGAAGAAGAGACAUCUGAAGGAAAAUAAUUCUGAAAUUAACUGGAAACAAGUAGGAAGCUGUGUCCUUCACACAUCAAGAUUGACCACAACUGUAAGAAAAAGCUGCUCAUGAAAGUGUCCUUCUUGACUCAUGGAGAGCAUACAAGGCUGUAAUUUAGCUAUAAUAAUCCCCUGUGAAACUAAACUGCUUACUUGUCCUAAAUAAGAAGUCAAACCAGCUAAUGUCUCAUGACCCUUUGAAGGGACAAAGCUCUUCUGUACAUAUUUAUUAGUGAAUUCAGAGAACGAUGCCAAGUCCAAUCCUUCAUUCUUAUUUGCACCUGAAAUUCCAGUUAUUUCCUGAACUUCUGUAGGGCAUAUGCAAAAGAAAAUUCCUUACUGAAACAGCUUCAUAGUUGCUUCCUCUGGGUUUUGGUUUUGGGUUUUUGUUGUUUUUCUUUUUGAGAAGAAAAGGGUAAUGAAGGAUUAUCUAAGGUGGACAUUCAUUUCUUUAGCCAGUUUUAUGUGCUUCAGGUUAAGGCUCAAACUGGA